CGGUGUUUAACUGGCGUGAUGUGGGACGUCCUACCGGUGGGCUUAGCCUCGCGAGGGGCGGCCCAACUAAUAUCCCGUCGCGGUGCUCUUUACUGAGUGUCGAGUCGGGUCGGUACGUUUACUUUGAACAAAUUAGAGUGCUUAAAGCAGGCUAUCCUCGCCUGAAUACUGCGUGCAUGGAAUAAUGGAAUAGGACCUCGGUUCUAUUUUGUUGGUUUUCGGAACCCCGAGGUAAUGAUUAAUAGGGACAGAUGGGGGCAUUCGUAUUGCGACGUUAGAGGUGAAAUUCUUGGAUCGUCGCAAGACGGACAGAAGCGAAAGCAUUUGCCAAAAAUGUUUUCAUUAAUCAAGAACGAAAGUUAGAGGUUCGAAGGCGAUCAGAUACCGCCCUAGUUCUAACCAUAAACGAUGCCAGCUAGCGAUCCGCCGAAGUUCCUCCGAUGACUCGGCGGGCAGCUUCCGGGAAACCAAAGCUUUUGGGUUCCGGGGGAAGUAUGGUUGCAAAGCUGAAACUUAAAGGAAUUGACGGAAGGGCACCACCAGGAGUGGAGCCUGCGGCUUAAUUUGACUCAACACGGGAAACCUCACCAGGCCCAGACACCGGAAGGAUUGACAGAUUGAUAGCUCUUUCUUGAUUCGGUGGGUGGUGGUGCAUGGCCGUUCUUAGUUGGUGGAGCGAUUUGUCUGGUUAAUUCCGAUAACGAACGAGACUCUAGCCUGCUAAAUAGGCGUACCUUAUGGUAUCGCGAAGGCCCCCGGCUUCGGCCGGUGGGUUUUUACUACCAACGUACAAACAAAUCUUCUUAGAGGGACAGGCGG
rnacentral:rRNA from 1 species